GGGGCGUGUUUGGUUGCCCUCUUUUUCACCGUGGAAUCCGAAUCGAAAUGAACUAAUAUGUUAGUCUGUGUUUGAUAUGCGAGAUUUUCAUUCCGAUUUCGAUUUCGACAUCCGGCUGAAUAGGAAUCCCUCAAUUACUACUUUCCCCAAUCCGGCCUAGGAAGCCGGAUUGAAAAUUAAAUUCGGGCCGAAUAGAUUUGUUCGUAUUAAAUUUAAAUUUUUAAAUUUAUUUUUUAAUUAAAAUACAAGUUUAAGUUUACAAAUUAUAUUUAUAAAUUUUAAUUUUAAUUUGAACUUAAAUUAAAAAUUAAAAUUCAAUCAAAUAUUUCGAAUCUAAUUUAUAAAUUUAAAUUUAAUUUAAACUCUAAAAUUUUAUUCAAAUUUUAUUUAAAAUUUAAAUUAAAUUUUUGGAUUCGAUUGAAAUUUAAAUUAUAAUUUUAAAUUUGAAUUUGAAUACAUCGAAAUUUAGUUUUAUAUUUUAAAUUAUCCCUUCAAUUUUAAAUUUUAUUUAAACAAAAAAACAUAUUUAAAAUUUUGACAUCAUUUUAAAAUUUUGACGUAAAUAUUUAAUAUUUAAUAUUCAGUUUGAAUUUAAACUAAUAUAUUAUAAAUAUAAAAUUAACAUAUUAAUUUGAUUACGUUUUUUAUAUCUAUCUGAACCAAAUACCAACAAUGGGAAUAGUUCAUUUCAAUUCUUAUUCCGGUGGCGAACCAAACAGAAGAAGGUAAUGAAUCAUUCCGAUUCCAUUUCCAACUUAUUCUCAUUUCGAUUUUGAUACCGAUUCUGACAUCGAACCAAACACACCAUGAGUUUUGCAACCGGAAAUCCUGCAUGUUUUUGGCCUAACUUCCGAAAAGUUAUUUUGGGCCCAAAAUUAAUUUUUCACUAAACAAAGUAUUUGUCGACCUUGUUUCUAAAAUUGGAUUUUAAUUCUUAGAAUC
rnacentral:lncRNA from 1 species